rnacentral:lncRNA from 13 species
CUACAUUAUAAUCCACCCAGGCUACAUUAUAAUCCACCCAGGCUACAUUAUAAUCCACCCAGGCUACAUUAUAAUCCCCCCAGACUACAUUAUAAUUCACCCAGGCUACAUUAUAAUCCACCCAGACUACAUUAUAAUUCACCCAGGCUACAUUAUAAUCCACCCAGACUACAUUAUAAUCCACCCAGACUACAUUAUAAUUCACCCAGGCUACAUUAUAUUCCACCCAGGCUACAUUAUAAUUCACCCAGGCUACAUUAUAAUCCCCCCCCCAGGCUACAUUAUAAUCCACCCAGGCUACAUUAUAAUCCACCCAGACUACCAGUAUGUCAGAACUGCAGUACUAUUUAUUGUCAAAACGAGUGAAAACUUGGGUUUCAUGAUUAGAGUCAAGUUUCCCCUAAAGGCUGAUCUUGAGUCAGUCUAGCGUUUCUCCCCAUUAAUGUUUUGUGUAAAGCUUGGGGGAGGGGAAGCUGAUCCUAGGUCUGUACCUAGGGGAAGCUGAUCCUAGGUCUGUACCUAGGGGAAGCUGAUCCUAGGUCUGUACCUAGGGGAAGCUGAUCCUAGGUCUGUACCUGGGGGGAAGCUGAUCCCAGGUCUGUACCUAGGGGAAACUUUCACCCCAGAGCCUCAUGAUAUGGCAGAAACUAUUGUGUGUGUUGAUGCCAGAAACAAAAAUUAUAUAACUGUAAAAUAACGAACUGUUUUGUCUGGGUAAAACUACAACAUUAGUCCCCUCAGCAGCCGGUGUGGAGUCUGAAGUUAUGAAGCGUUACUAGUGUAAGGCAAACGAGCAGAAAAUAAACUCUUGUGAUUACAACGUCUUGGUUGUUUCUCUUCUGUUUCGCUGGACGUUCUGAAUAUCCGAGUGAUACCUGUUGAUUACGGCACAAUACAGACUUUUUGAUUCUUUUAGGACAUGUUUUCCCCUCAGGUUUUACUUUCUAGGUUGUGUCAAGUAACGAAGAAAAUAACAUCAAUCGAAAUCAAUCCAUUUUCAGACAUGAUUUUUAACGCCUUAUUUAAAUAAACGGCUUUGUAAUCUGUGUCAAACCAGCGUUCCCUUUUCAGAGAGCCGACACCUACAACAUGUAAUCAGAUAGGUACAGGCACGUUAUAUCGUAGUAAUUCUCCUGGAAGGACCUGAAUGUUGCUCAAUCAAACCUGCGCCUGCGUGGUUCUGCAGCGUGUAGCGUGGUUCCGCAGCGUGUAGCGUGGUUCCGCAGCGUGCAGCGUGGUGGGUCCGCAGCGUGCAGCGUGGUGGGUCCGCAGCGUGCAGCGUGGUGGGUCCGCAGCGUGCAGCGUGGUGGGUCCGCAGCGUGCAGCGUGGUGGUUCCGCAGCGUGCAGCGUAGUUCCGCCUGCGUAGUUGCGCAGCUCCUCCACGCCAGACGGAGGAAAGUGAUUUAUGGACAUUGAGUUGACAAGCGGCCGCCGGCAGGGUCAGUGUUGGUUGCUCUCUUCAGGCACUUUUUGUUCCUUUGCAGUUAAAUCAAGCAAAAGAAGAAGUAGAAGAAUUACAACGCCAUGGCUCCUACAAUAUAUGAGAGUUCAACAACAAAAG